CGGCCGCCGCUGCCGGCGGAGCCGACGCCUGCGCCGCCACUGUUUGGAAGAUUUUUAGGGUUUUAAAUUUAGAAUAUUAAGGGGAGUUUGUUGAAGUGAGUUAUGGAAUUUUUGGAUGAGUUUUGGAUAGGUUUAUGAAUUUCCGAAGUGUGGUAUUUUUGGCGGUUAAUUAAUGUAGAAUCCGGCCGUAGGAUUUAAGUCGUAUUUUUGGGGAGGUUGUAAUUACGGCUGCUGAGUAUGAUAUUUAAGUUCGGAUUGUUUCGAUUUAAGAAUAUCGAAGUUAGGCAAUGAUGAGCGUAGUUAUGGCUCUCGGUUAAUUUUGCCUAUUUUGUUUAAAUAUUGGAGUUUUAGUUGGGAAAUUAAUUUUAUAUUUGUGCCAGGGUUCGAGGAAACCUCUCUGGAGUGGCGAUUUGGAUUUCGUCGGGUUUAUGCCUAGAGUUGUGAGUGGACUUUUGUUUUAAAUAAUAUGUAUGCUAUGGUUCAUGAAUGAACAAUUAAUGUCGUGGAGCAUUUUGACGUCAUUUUAAUUUUUGACAAUCUUAUUUCUCUUGGAGAGUUACCGAAAAUGGGAUUUUCGGUGGAUAUAAAUAUGUAUUUAUGAGAGAGAGUAUGUAUAUAAAAUGCUAGCUAGCCAUAUGUGUCUGUCCACCUUAAUGGCGUAGCAUAUAGCCGCAUUAUGGUGUGACGUGAGCGUUGGACGCGAGCAUAGUAGCCAUAUAUGAGUGUUUAAUUCAUAUAGGGGGUAUGGGUACAUAUUUAUACACCCGUCUGUCCACCUUAAUGGCGUAGUGUAGCACCGCAUUAAGGCGUGACGUGAGUGUUGGACGCGAGCGUAGUAGCCCUAUAUAGACCCAUGAAUUUAUAUAGGGAGUAUGGACGUGUGUAAAUACAUACAUAUAUUAUAGAGCCUGAGAGGCUCGACAUUUAUGAGAUAAAAGUUUUAUCGCUUGCAGCAUGCAUUCGAUUUUUCUUGGAAAUUGAUUUGGGGAAACAUAAAUAUUUAUUCGUUAAUUUGUUUUUGUCCACU
rnacentral:lncRNA from 1 species